rnacentral:rRNA from 1 species
UACAGAGGGGGCAAGCGUUGUUCGGAAUUACUGGGCGUAAAGGGCGCGUAGGCGGCCGGCUAAGUCGAACGUGAAAUCCCCGGGCUCAACCCGGGAACUGCGUCCGAUACUGGUCGGCUUGAAUUCGGGAGAGGGAUGCGGAAUUCCAGGUGUAGCGGUGAAAUGCGUAGAUAUCUGGAGGAACACCGGUGGCGAAGGCGGCAUCCUGGACCGACAUUGACGCUGAGGCGCGAAAGCCAGGGGAGCAAAGCGGG